GAUGAACGCUGGCGGCGUGCCUAAUACAUGCCAGUCGAACGCACAGCGAAAGGUGCUUGCACCUUUCAAGUGAGUGGCGAACGGGUGAGUAACACGUGGACAACCUGCCUCAAGGCUGGGGAUAACAUUUGGAAACAGAUGCUAAUACCGAAUAAAACUUAGUGUCGCAUGACACAAAGUUAAAAGGCGCUUCGGCGUCACCUAGAGAUGGAUCCGCGGUGCAUUAGUUAGUUGGUGGGGUAAAGGCCUACCAAGACAAUGAUGCAUAGCCGAGUUGAGAGACUGAUCGGCCACAUUGGGACUGAGACACGGCCCAAACUCCUACGGGAGGCUGCAGUAGGGAAUCUUCCACAAUGGGCGAAAGCCUGAUGGAGCAACGCCGCGUGUGUGAUGAAGGCUUUCGGGUCGUAAAGCACUGUUGUAUGGGAAGAACAGCUAGAAUAGGAAAUGAUUUUAGUUUGACGGUACCAUACCAGAAAGGGACGGCUAAAUACGUG
rnacentral:rRNA from 1 species